CGCAGGGGCAGUUCUCGGCCAGCCCCGCGGGCAACCAGCAGGGAAACGGAGGCUCCCGCCGAGCGCAGAGGAAGGGCGGCCCUCUCCCAUUCGGAGCUGGAGGCCGGCCAGGGAUGUCCAGCGUCCUUGCCCGGGGAGUUCCCCGGGCUCCGGCCCAAAGUCCAGUGUCCUCGGUUCUGAGCACUUGUUUACGUAGAGAUGCUCUGUGUUAGCUUCUGAUUGAUUCCCAGAGGUCUCGACACCCCCACCCAGUGUGUGGCCUGCCUUCCUGGAUCAGGUGAACCCGCUGAGAGACAGAAGAGCUUCUUCCUCAUCAAAGGCUGUGGAGCAUUUAAAAAACGAUUGCAACCUUCUGAUCUUUAGAGAUGUAUAUAGCCUCGAGUUGGAUUGGGCUUUGCGAUCUAUUUUGAAAGCCAUUUCAACAAUGGGACUCCUGGAGAAAUGACAGUCCCUUGCUGCUGCCUUUAAUUGGAGAGGAGCUCAGAGACCCGAGAUGAUAAUUAUGACGCCUUGCAUGCCGAGCUCGUCAAAAGCCUGCCAUUGUCCUUGCUGUUACCCUGAACAGCUGUGACAAACCAAACCCUGCAGACCCCGGAGCGUGCCCUGGGUCUCUCAGCCAGGCCUUACCUGGGAACUCUGAGUGAUGGUGACAUGUAGGCCGCAGGAAGACACACAGUAAACCCAGGAGUCUGUGAUGAGCUCAGAAGAGGCCUCCUUCGAAACCGCCUGUUGGAGUCGGCAGAGCCACAGGGGGGAAGGAUCCCGGUCCCUGAAUGAUCCUGUGGAGGACAGACACCGCUGAUCAGGAACAACCACUCCAGGAAUCUCACCUCCCCACCUGGGUUGUGAGGUCUUCUGGGGCAAGGAUGGCGCCUGCUCUUCCUUGGGCCCACUCUCCCAGCCCGGUCAGCCGGAGGACCGGACACCUAAGAGCUGCUUGCCUCUCCUUGAACUCUGAAAGCAGUUGGCGAUCAGAAAGGAGGAAGCUUGGGGCCCGCUCUGGGCAUCCUCAUGUAUUCUCCACGGCGCUCUUGCAGACCAGGCAGACACCGUCCGUCUCUCGGGAACAUCCUCCAUCCUCCCAUCUCAUCUGAGCUGCCUUCUGUGUUUAGGCCCGUCUCUCAGCUGCUCUCAAGAAACUCUCUUGACCCACAGGUUCCCGAGACAGCUUGUUAUACCCUGACCAAUGCCAUCUGUGCCUAAGAACUUGUCUUCCUAAGGAGACCUAAAUCCCUAGAAGACAGGGUCUUGCCCUGGAACUCACUGCCCUGAAAAAGAGCCUUGUUUGUCUAGACGCUUGGAAAAUGCAUGCUCUUUCUAAAACCAAGUUACCUCGAGCAUGGCUAUGAACUCAUCAGUAAAUGUAUGAGAAAUGUCUUUAUAAGACCGCCACCUGGAAGGAGGAUAUGUGCUUUGCUUUAUGAGAAACCCUGGAAAAGGGAGAAAGGAUUUGUCCUUACAGAGUUCAACUUGACUUGGAGCCGGUGCCUUUGGUUCUUGAUGGUUCUUGGAUUGGGCCAGGCCCCUCAGCUCCAAGUGGGGUGUCUCACACUUUGAUUCUGGUCAAGCUGGCCCCUGGCUUGGCUGGAGUUACUGCCUGCUGCCAGUUUCUGGGGAGGCAUUUGGAGACCCCAGGGAUCUUCCUUGCCUUCUGCCAUCUGUGGCCACUGGGCGGGGUCUGAGCGUCUGAGAAGGGACAGGUGGCCUGGCUGGCACAUCAGCUAGACAUCUCCUGGGGCUGGUCAGUACCAUCUUUAAACCAGCUGGCAGAGACUCCAGAGGGGUUUCUCUCCCUGUCAUGCAUUUAUAGCACCACAGGAAAAGCCAAGGCUGGGUCUUGCCAUAGAUACAACCCUGGGCAGUUUUUCUCUCUGUUCCAAACUGUAGCUGCAGCCCCUGCUUCGAGCCUAGGAGGCAGAAGCUGCUGAACUUGUCUUCUCUUGAAUGCCAAACUAUAUGCUUUGCACAGGGCUCGGCACAGAGUAGGCAGCCAGGAAAUAUUUACCGAAUGGCCAAUAGAAUGUUCACCUUCCCUUAGGGGAGGCCCAAUGCCAUUGAGAGAGUAAGGAUUGAACUCCAGGAACAGAAUACAGAAGAAGGCAUGAGCCAGCCUCACUUGCGUCUGCGCAAUCUUCCCAGAUUUCACUUUUCCUUUCCGGGUUCCCAGGAUUUCUCCAGGAACUCUAAUGUUAGGGCAAGGGUGUGAUCCACUUUUCCUAACCCUUUAAACCUGUGCUACUUCAAGCAUAAUCCAUGGACCAGCAGCAUCAGCCUCAUCUGGGAACUUGUUGGAAAUGCAGACUCUCAGGCCCCACCCCAGACCUAAUGAAUCAGCUUCUGCCCUUGAAGAAGAUCAGGUGAUUUAUGUGCCUGUUACAGUUGGAGAAGUACUGCCUUAAGCAGCUAGCGUGUGAACAUAGGACUUGUCACCUGGCCCAGAGGUCAGCCGCUAGCGUGUGGCUAACUACAGUUGGGCUUCUGCCUACCUUGAUGACUCAGACACCUUAUUGAGUCAGAUAUUUUCUGUCUCUCCAGUCCUUGAAUACUGUCCAGAACAUAGUAGGCACUCAAUAAAUAGUCGAUGAAUAAAUGCUAAAUUAUUCUUAUGCUGUUUUCUCCAUUCAGGGUGCUUAUAGUGUGCUGGACCUCUGCUUCUGGACAUAAAUUGCAAGUUAUUAAAAAGGUUUUUUUUGGU
rnacentral:lncRNA from 1 species